AGCACGGUGGCCGAGUGGUUUAAGGCGUUGGACUUAAGAUCCAAUGGACGUAUGUCCGCGUGGGUUCGAACCCCACCCGUGCUA
rnacentral:tRNA from 1 species